rnacentral:rRNA from 1 species
AUAGCGUAUAUUAAAGUUGUUGCAGUUAAAAAGCUCGUAGUUGAACUUCAGGCUUGGUUGGUUGGUCCGCCUCACGGUGUGUACUGAUCGACCGAGCCUUACCUCUUGGUGAGCUAGCAUGCCGUUUAUUCGGUGUGUUAGGGAACCAGGAUUUUUACUUUGAAAAAAUUAGAGUGUUCAAAGCAGGCCUAUGCCCGAAUACAUUAGCAUGGAAUAAUAGAAUAGGACGUGCGGUUCUAUUUUGUUGGUUUCUAGGAUCGCCGUAAUGAUUAAUAGGGAUAGUUGGGGGCAUUAGUAUUCAGUUGCUAGAGGUGAAAUUCUUGGAUUUACUGAAGACUAACUACUG